GGGAGGGGAACUUCGGCCCUUCUGCAGCCAGGGAGCCCGGAGCGGGGGACGGGGAACUACAGACCCCCGGCCCGCAGAUUGUGCUGUUCCGCUGCAGCGUCGGGAGCGGGGUCGGGGCAGGAUGCGACAAUCGGAAGGGGGUGGUGGAGAGGUGGGAGGAAUCACCAAUCGGGUGCCCCCCUCCCUGCCCCUGUCGGUGGAGAAACAGUGAAGGAAUGGGGUUAUUGACCUAAUCCUGUCUUCUGCUGGUAGUGUGGAUGGAACCGGGCCCCUGGGAUGGAUUGGGAUGGAUGGAUGGAUGGAUGGACGGACGGACAGACAAUGGAGCAGGGCACUGGGGCAGCUGCAAGGAAUGAAUGGCUGUGCUGGAGCUGCGUCUGCACCCCAGCCUUCCACAUCAGUUCCCUGGCCUCUGCUGGAGAACGUGGGGGUUUCGUUGGCCGGUGGCAGAGUCUCCUCAGCAGCCAGGGAAAAGGGUUACUGGUACCAGUGUCCCUCAAGAACACUUUGCCCUCACUAUUUGCAGUGCCAGAGUGAAAACACACCAUGGUCUGUCUGGCCCAGCAAACCCUGCCGAGCCUUGUAGAAGUCCUAUCCUCCCCUAUAGGCUCCUUUGUGCCUUGCCACAGACAGCAUGAAAACGCGCUUUGUUCCAGCCUGGGGGUGACCCUGCCAUGCGACGUCAGGGAUUGAGCUGGAGCUUCAGCCACGGACCAGGGUGGCCACCAUCACCCAUAACUGUGGUCUUCUUUCAGAGGUGGAAGAGCUUUAGCUGCUUUGCUAAAAUGGAGAAAAAGAAGCAUGUGUAGUAUCAUGGUGUGGUGAGCAAAACAAGAACAUGUUUCGAAUGCACCUAUGCUGACAUGCAGGAACGUUUCCUCAAGUCCAACAACCACCAUUAAAAUUGUGGCUGGUGUUCCUGGAACCACAUCCACUGGUUCAUCCUCAGCCAAGGACUCUGUUCCUUCACUGUGCUCCUCAGGACCCAGAGCCUUUCUCAAUCUCUGAGAAAGUGAGAGCACUGCCACAAAGGUGACCAAGUCUUGCUGGAAAGGAGCAGGAGGAAUAAAGUCCAAAACUGAGGAGUGCAGCAAUUUGUGAGGACAGAAGUCCCCUGGAUGUCACACCUUGGAAGAGUGCUUGGCUGAACCUAUGAAGUAAUAAAAAAGGAGCAGCACUGUCUCAACAACACUGAAGGGGGGUAAGCAACUAAAUGAAAAUCCACAUUCUUAGAACAAGCUCUAUUCUCUGCUGGGUGAAACUCUAAACUAUGACCCAGCAGCUGUUGGAAAUCUUUUCCCCUCACUGCCUUAAAAUUAACUUGCACUUUUCCCUCGUAAGCUAUGUCCCAGACAUCCGUUUUCCAUUUAAUUAUUGGACUGUAGGAUGAAUACUGGUUGUGAUUAUAGCUAAAUAUUUGUGGAUGCGACCUGCAAAUAAACAGUUUUUAUUAUUUCUUAUCUAUAGUUUCUCUACAACAUGCCAGAGAAAAAAUAUUAGUAAAAGCAUAGACAGAGGAAGGUAUGCAUUCCAGGCUUGUACUCAGCAUGGGGAACAACUACCCCCAUGUUGAAGGGGGGAAAAAAAAGUAAUUAAUUUUUCUAAAAACAUUACAGAUGGAUGCCAAAUUCUUGAGGAAAUUGGGCUACAAUCAGUGCCUUUAUAUAAGGCAGCAGGAAUUAGUCCAGUGGAGCAGAGAGUAAUUUGAUUCUUCCCUUGAUGGAGAUUACCAGAAAUAGAACAUUUCAUGAGAGCUAUUGGCAACUCAAACACUUUCCUCUAAUUUAAAUAAUUAAAUUAAUUUCUCUAAUUCAUGCUAGUCCAGCCUGCACUUAAGAAGCAGCAAGGGCAGCUUUGCAGGUCAUACCACGCUAGACUGACUGUCCCUUUUUAACAGACACAGUUAUGGGAUAGUCAUGUGCAUGAAAAACUAAGACAAACUGACGAUGGUCAAGGGACUUGCUUUGCAUUCUCCUGCUAAAGAGCUGCUCCAGCUGCUCCCUGAGCAAGGGCUCUUCUCAGCCUCAGCUCCUGUGUCACCACCACAAUGAUCCCCUCUCAGUACAACACCUAAAAAGCCAAAUACCUACCAAGGGUGCAGAGCCAGAAAGGGGCUUUGCAUGCUCAGCUUCAUAAAUAUAAUAAUCCAGGGGUAGAAAGAAGUAUCCUGGAGCUGGCUCGUUGCACUGGCGGCUCACGAUGUUGGGCAGACACUCGCACUGACCAUCCUUUGGUGAGCACCUAUGGGAGGAGUUGGUAAAGGGAGGACAUCAGUGUGGCACAGUGGGGUCCUCACAGCAUGAAGGCAGCUCCAACCCACCCUUGUUCCACCUUUGCUUAAUCUCAUUGCUGGAUUGCCUCCAUUACUAAACUUCUUCCUAUCACCCAUCUCCUCUGUUUCUGAUGCUGGAUUUAUUCAAUGCUACUUUUCCAUGACUUCAGAGUCCAUGACUUGCUUUAUCUUUGUCUGUUGCGUACCUGAAGCACUGAUCCUUUUGUUUCCUGAGCAUCUGUUACUGUAUUCCUGUAUCAUUUAUCUUUUUCUAUAAGAAUCAUUGUAUCACGGUUCUUAAUAAUCUGUCACCCACAAAUAUCAAGGCAGGACAUGAGAUCAGAAGGACCUUUGAUGUGAUAUGGAAUGUUUUCAUAUACUUACACUCAUAUUUAACACACCAGGUGAUUUACCUGCUCACAAAGAGCUGCUCUACAGCAUGGGACUGUGUGCUCCUAUGUCUGAAGUCUAACAGCAGUAGUGAAGAUCCCUGCCCAACAGAUUUCCAAAGGAGCCCAACUGAAACCGAUCUUGCUUCUAAAAUUACACAUUUUAAAUAGGAGCUAGAAAAAAAAAUUCUCACAUUUAAGGUAGAUGUAGGAAGCUAAGUUAAAAAUGACACCUCUAACUUCUAAUUUCUAAUAAUAUUAGGGUCUCUGGUUCUGUCAAGGCAUACAUUUUGUAUUUUAUAUUAAACACAUCUUGGUUCAACCUGAUCCAAAGUUGGCUUCAAAGGAAAUAGUUAAAUCCCCAUAUCACAAAUAAAUUUCCAAAAUCUCCACCCAACUUUACAUUGUUUGUAUAUGAUGAAAUUCCAUCUACAUUCUAUUUUCCCAUCUGCACUGUGACUGUAUUAACCUAACCAGAAAAUCUAGCCUAAGAGUUUAUAAAAAUUAAAACCAAGAAAGAACUUGAAGAACUUUAACUUACAAGUUAUUCUGGGAUCCACCAAUAUCACAGCCACAUGGAGAACAGCCAUACAAGCUGUUGCCAAGACCCCAGUAUCCUACCUGGUACAAAAAGAAAGAUUCUUUUAUGGCAAAUAUUUAAGUAUGCAAACCAAAGCAAAACAAAACUCGUUCUGCUGAAUGAACAAUGCUCUCCACCACUGUGCUUGGCAAUGGGAGACUGCUUCUCUUACCAGAUAGCAGGGGUGCUCAGCCACUGCAAGAGCCAGAUAUUUACCCACUUGUGCAAGCAAAUAGCUCUGUAAACAGCAAAGAUGGACCAGGGACGUAAUUUUGCAUUUCCUUUUCUUCCUGGGAGUGCUCCUUCCACUGCAAUUUGAUUGCAUAAAUGUUUGGGAGCAGUGAAAGAGAAGCAGAUAUGUCAAUGCAAAAUGGGAGCAUACAGCUGUAAAAUUUUUUCGAAUUUUGACUAAUUGUUUACUUUUAUGGCAAGGAAAAGGUGUGGGAUGGGUGAGGAGACUUCCAAAAUCACAUGCAGAAGCAAAACCAAAAACUGAGUACAUACAAGGCAUUUUUCACAGUGUUGCCCUGUGGUGAACUUCUGGCAGAGGCACUCUCCUGUGGCAGGAUCACAGAUGGAGAAGGGCAAACUGCCCAAGGGAUCACAGUUGCAGGCUGCAGGGACAGAAAUGUGCAGUUACCUAUGCAGGCCCCAGUGACAGCAGCAGGACUGGCAUUUAUGUUAGAUGAGGCAUCAGCAUGACAGGCAGUCUCCACCCUCCACACAGACAUUCUGCAGAUGAACGUGCCCUGGCACCCUCCAGCCCUCAGACUGCCCUUGGAAAAUGAACAAUUUCCUCAGUGGGUUCCUCUCUGGGGGGACCAGAGGCAUUGGCAGAAAGUCCUCUGCAGUGGUUUGCCAAGUGCUGUGUGCUGAUAUGCACUGCAGUCCUUGUGUGUGGCUGAGCACCUGGUAUGGGCAUAACGUGCUUACAAACCCACAGUGCACCUGGGCAGGAGUGGGAUGUGUUUUUCAGCAAGCUUCUCUCAGAGGAAUGGUUGGCUGGAAGUUCUCUUGGCAAGGCAGAGGUCCUGUCAUCUCAAUCUCCCUUUUCAAUUAAAUUGCAUAUUUAAUAACCCUUCUAUUAACAACAGCCUGAUCUGUUAUAUUAUAUUAUGCAUUCUGAAAGUGAUUUUGCAUUGUUUCACUCUUGGAUGCUGUGCCAGAAACCUUGAAUUACAUUGACAUUAAAUUACAGUAGGCAACUGGGUAUUUUGUGACUCAGUAGAGCAUUAGUGUGUGGAUCUGUGCAUUCAACUACCUCCAUGCCUUAAAAAUGCUUUGGAAAGAGGACUAGAAGAAGUGGUUUACGUACGCUGGCAGCCCAGGGGGUCGCUGCUGCUCAGCCCGUAGUAGUUUGCCCUGCACUUGUCACAGCGAGCGCCCUCCACAUUUUCCUUGCAGGGGCACCGGCCCGCGACCGUCCCCAGCGUGGGAUCCGUGUGGCUCUCGCACACGCCCUCGUGCAAGGUGCCCUCGGGGUCACAGUUGCAUGCUACAGGCAGGGUCAAGGAGACACAUUAAAAAAGCUCGUCUAGAUGUAAGCAUGAAAAUGCAAUUACAGAGCUGCUGGUAAUCUGCCCUUUGCUCCUUAAGGACUUUUCAUGUCAAUCAAUUGCUACAAUUAAAUUACAGAGUAUUUUCUCCAUCCUGUGUUAAUAAUGAAUUUAGGUCAUCUUUCAGAAGAAGAGCUUUCCUGUCUGAAAGACUAUUUUUCUUGCAUAUAGCAGGUAUCUAGCAAAAGUUACUUACUCCUCCCAUCAUUUUGCACCCUCUUCUGUAAUCCCUGAAGGUCACAGAAGCAACAUCACUACUGAUAUUCAUAUUUAUAUUGACAUUGUUCAAGAAAGACGAUAGCUCUGUUGGAUUUCUAAGCUCAGUUUAGCAAGGAGUUGGAAUAUGCAGCUCUUUUUAGAAUGCUGGUUCGAGGAUAUUGUCAUGCAGUGACUUUGUAAAGCAGUUUGGAUGUUACAGGUACGGUAACAUUUUUACAACCAUGUGGACAUUUAAGCAUGGGGCUGGCUGUAGGGCUCAGAGCAAAGAGAACCAUAACAACUCUGUUUUGAGUCAUUUUUACAGAAGUUAAAAAGGGAAGCUUACGGAGGCACGCCUGAGGAUCUGAGAUGACUUUGAGUGGAUCCUGGUAAAAGAAACGUUUGCACUUGUCACAGUGUUGCCCAGUGGUGUUGUCCUGACAGUCCUCACAAACGCCACCGCUGACCCCACCGCUGGCCUGGUACACGGCCAUGUCAAAGUGGCAUCUGCUGGAGUGGCUGUUGCAGUUACAACCUGAAACCAAAACAAAUGGGGUAUUUCAUACCAUGCCAAUAUUGUGGUCUGGCUACCACUGCUGUCUACACUUAACACAGAGUUACUGGUUACUUGUAUCAUUUCAGUGCCCAGCAAGAUUAUUCCCAGGCCUUGUGUGUUACAACUGGGAGAAAACAUUGGAGUCUUAGGACAGAACUGUGUCCUAAACUUGGAAAUGCAGGUGAGUGUGCCUGAUAUGCAGUGGGGAACACUGCUCUGCUGAAGAAAGCUCUAGCUGAAUAUUUAUUACAGACCCUAAUACAUUAUUUUCGUGUAUACUACAUUACUCAUUAUUGUGGAAAUAAGUAAUUUAGCCUUGUCUAAAUUCUUUUACUCACAUGAAAAACUCUGUGCAAACCCAUGAAUGAUCUUUUUUGCAUUAGCUGCUUUUUCCUCUCCUUACUGUUUUUUUUCUCUGCCUGAAGAAUAAGAACAUGAAACAGCUCUUCCUCUUGUAGGAUAACACAGCACCUAUGGAUGCAGCAAUCUGUUUUUCUGGAUGAGGCAUGAAAAAGUCUCCCUCUCAGAAACCUGGCCAUCCCAUUAUGAAUUGAACUAGGAUUGUGCUACACCCACCCCCUGCUAUUAAAAAGGAAAAUAGCAUGUUUGA